UGGAAUAUUAAUUAAAAGCAGAAAUGGGAUUACUCAUACUAAAAAAAUUAAUAUUUUUACUCUAAGACUCUGUCAACAGAGACAACUGUUGAACAUAAAUAACCCAAAUUUUUUGAUCCACAUUAGCCAAUUUACUUCUUCCUGAAAAGGAUAGUUCAGUGUUAACUAGUGAAAAAAUGGGAACUGUGAUAUUAUUUUAUUUGUGCUGAUUGGAUCGUAGAACAGCUUGAAACUUUGUCAGAGAUCAUUUGGUGUAACAGUGUACAGUUUGUCACCCUGGUGACAGUGGCCCUCCUGUACUGUGGGACUCUUAGUUCUGUCCAUGAAAUUGCUGUUUCUGCACAUUAUUUGCAGAACGCUGUUUGUGAACAUUUCACUUUUGAAAUUUAUGCUCAGUCCAAAACUCAUAUGAAAUGACUGUUUCUGUUUUCUGGAAAGGUUAAAAUGGCUUCACUUCUAUAAUGAAUUUACACUAAACUUCCCAUUUGAGCUAUUAUGUCUGUAGUUCUUUCAAGAAGCUGGGUGCCUCCCCAGGACAAGAGGCAUGAACCGAGCAAGAUCAAGUCACUGUUUGCUCAGCUGAGACUUUUGCUCAUCAGAAAGGUCCUCUCUGCCCAGCUUCUCCAUCUGGUUGGUAUCAUGGGCUUCAGCAGUGUUUGUUUGUAGUCUUGAAUGUGGCUGUAGGCACAGGCAGCUGAGCUGCUGUCCAGUUAGCUUUCCUUUUGGUACAUGUAGGAGCUCAGGACUUUGGGGAGAUAAAUAAUGUCAUCCAAUUUUACAGCAGUAACAUGUGCUUCAUCUUUUGGAGCCCCUUCACCUUUUGUGGUGUUGGAAAACCAGAAGCUGGUUGGGAACCUGUGGUGCCUACAUCCGUGAUAUGAAAUUUCUGUCUCCUCUCCAACCCUCAUUUCCACUCUCUGAAAGGAUCCAGAAGUCUCUGAGUUUUGCAAAUGUGUAUGUAAGUAAUACCUAAUUGUCCCAAUUAAUUGAAUUAGACUAACUUUAUGUGCUUGAAUUCAUAUGGAAGACUGAGUCUUCUAGUUUGUACUUUAAUCCUAUUAAAGUACUGAACAGACUGAGACAGAGAAAAAUCCAGAUCUUACUGGGUCUAGUAAAAGUCAGUGUGCUGGAAGUGCAUCUGGUAUUGUAGGAACAGCUUCUCUGGCAAAGUGAGCUCUGACUGGAUUUGGUUAAUUAAGUGUUCCUUGGCCUGCUGCUCUACCUUCCCUGCACAUACAGCUGUAUGUAGGUACAUGUAUGUCAGGGCUUGGUUUGGGGGGAAAUACUUAUUUAGUGCACUAAACUACCAUUACUGCAAGCUAACUUUGAUCAGCUUUGUUUCUUUUUAUCCUUUUAAGUAGUACUGUCUGCCCUGGU
rnacentral:lncRNA from 1 species